AAGCGCGCCCGGGCUCCUGCAGGCGGGGCGCUGUGCGCGCCGCGAUCCGGUACGUGGGCCUCCGGGCUGUCCCCUCUGGGGGCGGCGAUCCUCCCUCCGGAGCCCCCCUUCAACCCUCCCGGAAGUGAGCAUUUGCAGGACCAGGGAUGCUGUGCUGCUCUCCCAUGAGCCAGUCACCGAGUCGGUCUGCUGCAGCCCUUUCUGAACCUCUGGCCGUCUGGAUGCUCCACUGUGCUUGCCAAGAUGAAGUGCGUCUUGGUGGCCACUGAGGGCGCAGAGGUCCUCUUCUACUGGACAGAUCAGGAGUUUGAAGAGAGUCUCCGGCUGAAGUUCGGGCAGUCAGAGAAUGAGGAAGAAGAGCUCCCUGCCCUGGAGGACCAGCUCAGCACCCUCCUAGCCCCGGUCAUCAUCUCCUCCAUGACGAUGCUGGAGAAGCUCUCGGACACCUACACCUGCUUCUCCACGGAAAAUGGCAACUUCCUGUAUGUCCUUCACCUGUUUGGAGAAUGCCUGUUCAUUGCCAUCAAUGGUGACCACACCGAGAGCGAGGGGGACCUGCGGCGGAAGCUGUAUGUGCUCAAGUACCUGUUUGAAGUGCACUUUGGGCUGGUGACUGUGGACGGUCAUCUUAUCCGAAAGGAGCUGCGGCCCCCAGACCUGGCGCAGCGUGUCCAGCUGUGGGAGCACUUCCAGAGCCUGCUGUGGACCUACAGCCGCCUGCGGGAGCAGGAGCAGUGCUUCGCCGUGGAGGCCCUGGAGCGACUGAUUCACCCCCAGCUCUGUGAGCUGUGCAUAGAGGCGCUGGAGCGGCACGUCAUCCAGGCUGUCAACACCAGCCCCGAGCGGGGAGGCGAGGAGGCCCUGCAUGCCUUCCUGCUCGUGCACUCCAAGCUGCUGGCAUUCUACUCUAGCCACAGUGCCAGCUCCCUGCGCCCGGCCGACCUGCUUGCCCUCAUCCUCCUGGUUCAGGACCUCUACCCCAGCGAGAGCACAGCAGAGGACGACAUUCAGCCUUCCCCGCGGAGGGCCCGGAGCAGCCAGAACAUCCCCGUGCAGCAGGCCUGGAGCCCUCACUCCACGGGCCCAACUGGGGGGAGCUCUGCAGAGACGGAGACAGACAGCUUCUCCCUCCCUGAGGAGUACUUCACACCAGCUCCUUCCCCUGGCGAUCAGAGCUCAGGUAGCACCAUCUGGCUGGAGGGGGGCACCCCCCCCAUGGAUGCCCUUCAGAUAGCAGAGGACACCCUCCAAACACUGGUUCCCCACUGCCCUGUGCCUUCCGGCCCCAGAAGGAUCUUCCUGGAUGCCAACGUGAAGGAAAGCUACUGCCCCCUAGUGCCCCACACCAUGUACUGCCUGCCCCUGUGGCAGGGCAUCAACCUGGUGCUCCUGACCAGGAGCCCCAGCGCGCCCCUGGCCCUGGUUCUGUCCCAGCUGAUGGAUGGCUUCUCCAUGCUGGAGAAGAAGCUGAAGGAAGGGCCGGAGCCCGGGGCCUCCCUGCGCUCCCAGCCCCUCGUGGGAGACCUGCGCCAGAGGAUGGACAAGUUUGUCAAGAAUCGAGGGGCACAGGAGAUUCAGAGCACCUGGCUGGAGUUUAAGGCCAAGGCUUUCUCCAAAAGUGAGCCCGGAUCCUCCUGGGAGCUGCUCCAGGCAUGUGGGAAGCUGAAGCGGCAGCUCUGCGCCAUCUACCGGCUGAACUUUCUGACCACAGCCCCCAGCAGGGGAGGCCCACACCUGCCCCAGCACCUGCAGGACCAAGUGCAGAGGCUCAUGCGGGAGAAGCUGACGGACUGGAAGGACUUCUUGCUGGUGAAGAGCAGGAGGAACAUCACCAUGGUGUCCUACCUAGAAGACUUCCCAGGCUUGGUGCACUUCAUCUAUGUGGACCGCACCACUGGGCAGAUGGUGGCGCCUUCCCUCAACUGCAGUCAAAAGACCUCGUCGGAGUUGGGCAAGGGGCCGCUGGCUGCCUUUGUCAAAACUAAGGUCUGGUCUCUGAUCCAGCUGGCGCGCAGAUACCUGCAGAAGGGCUACACCACGCUGCUGUUCCAGGAGGGGGAUUUCUACUGCUCCUACUUCCUGUGGUUCGAGAAUGACAUGGGGUACAAACUCCAGAUGAUCGAGGUGCCCGUCCUCUCCGACGACUCAGUGCCUAUCGGCAUGCUGGGAGGAGACUACUACAGGAAGCUCCUGCGCUACUACAGCAAGAACCGCCCAACCGAGGCUGUCAGGUGCUACGAGCUGCUGGCCCUGCACCUGUCUGUCAUCCCCACUGACCUGCUGGUGCAGCAGGCCGGCCAGCUGGCCCGGCGCCUCUGGGAGGCCUCCCGUAUCCCCCUGCUCUAGGCCAAGGUGGCCGCAGUCUGCCUUUGCAUCCUGUCCUCCAGCCACCCUUGCUUGCCACUGUUCCCCAUGACGAGAGCCUCCUGUCUGCAGUGGCCAUCCUGAGGAUAGGGCAGAGUGCCCAGGGUGGCCCCAGGGCUUCUAAAACCCCACCUAGACCACCCUCCAUGUCAGGUACUGAGCAAGGCCCCAGAUCCUUCUCUCUGGAGGAAGAGGGAAGCCCAGGGGUCCUGUUUGUAAAACAACGGUGGCAACAGCUCCUCUUCCAGAGCUGCCUCUGCCUUUAUCCUGGGAGAUGGGGAGGAAGCCCCAUCUCUGCUGUUCCCUGCGUGGAGGAAGCCCACCCAGCAAGCUCUCUCCUACCCCAGGUAAAAGGUGCUCCUUUGCCUGGGUUUGAAUUCCAGCGCUGCCACUUCCUCUCUGCACCUCCUGGCAAGUUUCUUCUAUUCCCCACGUUUAAAGCGAUGGCACCUCCGUCCCAGGGUGGUGUGAGGAUUACCCAGUGUGGGAACAGCUUUGGGGCUGGGGGAACUAGAACCCACAUGUUGGUCUAAACCCUGAGAAGGUGGCAGUGAGGAAGUAUCCCCUCAGGUGACUGGAUCUGUGUUCCUCCUUAACAUCAUCUGAUGGAAUGGCAAUGAAAAGCGUGGAUUGUGGAAAAUACAGAAAAACAUAAAGGAAAAAACUCCAAUCCCCUGAGCCCACCACUGUUCAGGACCCCUGCUUUUGUCACCUACUAUUUCCCUUUAGUUUUUAGCAGCGGCUGGAUGUGAUAUGUCUAGUUUAACCAGUCCCCUUGAUCUUUCUAUAUAAUAAAUAACACAGGAGUGAACAUCCUGAAUCAGAUCUUAGCAGAGAUGCUCACAUGCGGGGUAACUGUCCAUGGUGUGUGGAGGGGUCCUCGGAACCCCCUCUUAGGAUCAUCUCCACAUACUCUCCCAGUUCUGAGAUUCGUUACCAAUAGCAGGUUUCCGUCACACUGCGAUAUCAGAGCAGUGCAGGAACUCUCCGCUCCAAGGGGUUUUUUCCUCCUAGGGGAACACUCUGCUAAGUAAUGGGCAGAGAACAAAGGGGCUCCUAAUUCAAGGCAGGCCUAAGGGAGGGUCAGAAAGAACUUUAGCUGGAGGUAUUUACAGAUGUGACCUCGAAUCCUUGGGGAUUCUUGGAAAAUGGGCAAGGUGCCAAAAGAGGAGAACUGGCCAGGCCUUCAAAACUAAAACACCAGAGAAUUACAGACAGCGAACUUGCCCCUAAGCCCUCGUUGUGGGUUUGUGUUUGAGCAUUUAGGAGAGGACUCCAGUGCUCCUCAGCGACAGACACAGCUGCCUCUGCGGUGUCUGAAGGCCCUGGUCGUGGUGACGCUAGAUGGCCGCCCUGGGCGCCUCCUGUGGGCGUAGAGGCAUCACCACUCUGCACUGGCAGACUCAGCAUGGAGUUGGAGCAGAGUCUGACACGAGCACUUGCCAUCCCAGGCGUUUCAGUUCUGACUGAGAAGGUAGAUGCACAGGGGAGGAGAGGGCCCUUUCGAGCUCCACUCUGCCUCCACCACUCAUUCCCUAACCCCGCAGCCUCAGCGCCCUCAUCUGUAAAAUGGGGAGUUUUGCCUACAGGGUUCAGCACAAUGCCAGCCUGACAUAGGAACCCCAGUGGAUUGUCAGUUUUGCCAUUAUCCCCUGCAUCCUGGAGGUGACACCGCCUGGUUAAUAGGCAACACUCCCGACGGCCCAGCACAGCCCCAGGGCAGCAGGAGGCUGGCCUGUGGCCAAGAAUGCAUGGUGGAGGGGGCCUGGAGGGGGACUGCAGCUCCUCCUCUUCCUGCUUCCUCCCUGCUCCACCCCGUGCCUAGGGCAGCACAAAAGCCAAUCGCUAGCAAACUCCCUGCCUAGCAAGGCCCAGCCUGGGGCAGAAAUGGCUGCAAGUGGCCGAGGUCUCUGCAAGGCUGUGGCCGCCUCUCCCUUCCCGGCGUGGAGACGAGAUAACACGGAAGCCAGGGGAGGUCUGAAGCCUGAGUAUGAUGCGGUGGUGAUAGGAGCAGGUAAAGUGGUAAAGCAGGCCGGGCCAGAGCUGAGGGGCGGGAAGACAGCCCUGCUCAGAGCUUGGUGGGGAGGGGGAGGGGGAGCCAAGCCCCACUGCUCUCUCCUCUGGCAUAACCCAGCCAGAAGUUUAUACGCUAGCAGGGGCUGCAAUGGAAAGCCCUUCCAUCUGGCAGGCAGGCACCUGGGAUUCCGGUGCUGGCUCUGCUGUGUGGCCUGGGGCAAAUGCUUGCCUUCUCUGGGCUUGGAUCUUCCCAUGGAGAAUGACAGGAAGACUAGAGGGCCCCAAAUGCAUGAUUGCCAACUGGGUCUAUACAGAGAUAAUGACGGGACCGAAAGCAGACGGCACUCAACAUGCAGCUUUGAGGGCAUGCCUUCAUUUUCAUAUGUACUAGAGCAGUUGCGAGCUGGUAGAUACUCAACACUCACCUCUCCAGGGAAAAAUGUGUGAUGUAUGUGUGUGUGUACAUGUAUAUAUAUGUAUAUAUACACACAUAUAUGUGUAUAUAUAUGUAUAUGUGUUACGUACAUAUAUAUACACAUAUACACAUGCUUAUUUUAAAUAUUGAAAUAAAAGAUACACUGCACACAAUUUUACAAAUAAAGAUACAAUACUCUCAAUUUAAA